GCCAGGUGUGGUGGUGCAUGCCUGUAGUCCCAGCUACUUGGGAGGCUGAGGCGGGAGGAUCACUUGAGUCCAGGAGUUCAAGGCUGCAGUGAGCUGUGACCACACCACUGCACUCCAGCCUGGGUGACAGAGUGAAACCCUGUCUCUA
ensembl:misc_RNA Metazoa_SRP Metazoan signal recognition particle RNA